rfam:Physcomitrella patens subsp. patens PHYPAscaffold_199 genomic scaffold, whole genome shotgun sequence.
UAAGAGGCUUUUAUAAAAGCCAUGAUUAAAUAUCUUGAAUUAUUUU